GGCCUUGUGGCUCAGUGGUAGAGCACUUGCCAAGCAUGUAUGAGGCGCCUGGGAUCUAUUCUCAGCACCA
rnacentral:tRNA from 1 species